GACAGAUGGGAGCUUGCUCCCUGAUGUUAGCGGCGGACGGGUGAGUAACACGUGGGUAACCUGCCUGUAAGACUGGGAUAACUCCGGGAAACCGGGGCUAAUACCGGAUGGUUGUUUGAACCGCAUGGUUCAAACAUAAAAGGUGGCUUCGGCUACCACUUACAGAUGGACCCGCGGCGCAUUAGCUAGUUGGUGAGGUA
rnacentral:rRNA from 1 species